CUGAGUCCACCACUGAUUGAUCACAUAUUAGAACUAAAUCCGACCAAUCAGACUGAUUACUUUGACACCUCUCCAGCAGAAGGCAGUAUAGCUACUGUAUAUCCUAUGUACAUUGGUUCUGAUGACAAUGGGGGAAAGUAAAUGUACCUUCCAUUCCGAUCUUGCCAUCCCCAUCUCUGUCUCCCGCUGACAGCAGGGUCUUGGUCUCAGUCACGCCUGGACUGCAGCCUUGAUGUCCUCGUCUCUCAUCAUCCCUGAAAGUGCCAUGAUCCUUGAUGUCUGAGGGGUGCUGUAGCAUCUUUGUGAAUCAGAGUGUAAGAGCAAAUAUGACAUCUCCGUCCACAAACCCUGGGAGAUUCCCCACGACACAAAGCACCAACCCCCUUCAUCAGUGUAUUAGAACAGAUAACUUUUUUAUUUUCCUUGAGAAUGAAAUUGACAUCUCACCUUGCUAUUUUGCAAUAUGAUAAAAUCUGUA